rnacentral:rRNA from 1 species
CCCUACGGGGUGCACCAGGCUCAAGCACAAUACUCUUGGGCAGGGCCUGCCUGACGGCGUAGCUGAUGGCGGAAGUGGGGCAAGGAUUACCAGUCACUUCGGCAAUUGUCUUAAUGGCGCGACCGGCAUAUUUCUUUACAUGCACCGGCAACGAAACCUGCUCACCAUCUACACUGAUCAUAACUGUGGUAUCGCCUAACUGCUGGCCUCCGAUUUGAACGUAUCUGCCGUCAGUGCCGGUUGUUGAAGUCGCAACCGAGGUAUCCUCGACUUUAGCAUAUAUCGGUCCGUUAGCCGCACCGCUGAUUUGAACCCGCCGGGUUUCACCAAGAGGUACUGUGAUAUCUUUGUCGCUAACGCUGAUAGCGGGCAUAAGGAGCAGGGAUCUGAUAUUUGAAACCCAGGAAUUGGCGGGGGAGC